UGAGGAGUAGUUCAAUUGGUAGAGCGUCUGACUCUGGAUCAGAAAGUUGCAGGUUCGAGUCCUGCCUCCUCAG
rnacentral:tRNA from 1 species